AAAUAGUCUGCAACGGCAUUACGGUGAUGGGGCGUGGAACCGGCAGCAUGGCGGAAGCGCUUACCAGUUUCCUACUGCUUACGCAGUGGCCAACAAACGGCAGCGUCCAGGAAGCAUGGCUUGAGAAAAAUGCCUCCGUCAAAGCAUACUUCAACGAACUCAACAUGACGUGACCAAAUCCAAUCUCUCUUUUGGACUGCUGCCAUGACUCGUCGUGCAAUGCCCACGCUACAGUAUUCCCCUGCUACCUCUGCCACCUCCCCGCCCGCGCCCGUAGAGCAGCAUUCAUCCGGCUCUAAACUUUGAGCCUGUCUGCCAGUAUACUGAAACAUGGUAAAUUUCUGUGGUGUUAACUUUUCAACAUUAAAGUCCUAAACGAUGAGAUGUA